CUUCUUUGUUCCAAUUUUUUUCCAUCCCUUAUUUCGUUUUCUCCACAAAAACUGUUAUUUACAAAAACAAUUGUUUUCCCUUCUCACUGUUCCACUGCCAGUCUCCCCAUGUUCUACAACGGUUACAACCAUCAACGAUGGUUUGAGAAAAAAUUUAAUAUUUCUGUCCAAAUUCAAAGGUCUCUCUCGUCCUUUUCCCUUUGCUUCAACACUUCUCCAUUCGAUUCAGUUCAACCCCAGGUUAGGCCACCGAAUCACACACCUUAUUUCUUCUCCAUUUUGGUUGUGAAUCUACCGCCAAUCAUGGAUCAAGUUGAUUUCAACGCCCCCCUAUUCCAUGGGAACCACCAUCAUCAGUGUUACCUACAAUGA